rnacentral:lncRNA from 1 species
GCAAGUUCAUCCUACUAUUUUCAGACUAUGCAAGCGGACCGAGUCGGGUUCAGCCCAAAUACCAAAGAUGGCCUUAAAACACAGAGAUCAUUCUCAAGGAAUGGUCAAUUGCCUCCAAGAAGUCUCUCAAUUCCAAAUGGUUCUCAUGCUUCUCCACAUCAUUAUCAGUUUCCUCAGAAUUCACCUAAACCAGAACCAGAUUGUAAAUCUUAGAACUGGAUUGUUGGCUCCCCUACUAGCAGAGGAAGAACAGUAAAUUUUUUAAUCAUGUUUUGAUCUUUCAAUAUGCAUUGACUCCUAACGGAGCUCAAGUACAUGGAGUAAAUAUUUGUCAUCGAUAAAUUGGGUUCUCUCUCUCCCUCUCUUUUUGGAUCAAUUGAUGGUUGGAAUGGGGUAGUUCCCUAAAAUUUAUGGGAAGGUAUACCUCUUCCGCAGCCCGAAAAUGGUUGGAGUAUGCAAGCGGACCGAGUUGGGUUCAGCCCAAAUACCAAAGAUGGCCUUAGAACACAGAGAUCAUUCUCAAGGAAUGGACAACUGCCUCCAAGAUGUCUCUCAAUUCCAAAUGGUUCUCAUGCUUCUCCACAUCAUUAUCAGUUUCCUCAGAAUUCACCUAAACCAAAGCCAGAUGGCAAAUCAUAGAACUGGAUUGUUGGCUCCCUUACUAGCAGAGGAAGAACAGUAAAUUGUUUAAUCAUGUUUUGAUCUUUCAAAAUGCAUUAACUCCAUGGAGUAAAUAUUUGUCUUUGUCAUAAAUUGGGUUCUCGCUCUUUCCCCUUCUCUUUCCCGAUCGAUUGAUGGUUGGAAUGGGGGUAAAUC